rnacentral:piRNA from 1 species
UCCAUUGCUGAGUCUUUCGUUUAUGGUCCC